GCCUGGAUGGCUCAGUUGGUGGAGUGUGUGACUUCUGGUCUCAGGGUCAUGGGUUCGAGCCCCAUGCUGGGUG
rnacentral:tRNA from 1 species